GCGAGGUGGUGUGAAUCCUAGAAAGUUUCUCGUAGUCCGGAUUGGAGUCUGCAACUCGACUCCAUGAAGUCGGAAUCGCUAGUAAUCGCGGAUCAGCAUGCCGCGGCGAAUACGUUCUCGGGUCUUGUACACACCGCCCGUCACACCAUGGAAGUGGAUUGCACCAGAAGUAGAUAGUCUAACCUUCGGGAGGGCGUUUACCACGGUGUGCUUCAUGACUGGGGUGAAGUCGUAACAAGGUAGCCGUAGGGGGACCUGUGGCUGGAUCACCUCCUU
rnacentral:rRNA from 1 species